GAACUUUCCAGAGAUGGAUUGGUGCCUUCGGGAACUGUGAGACAGGUGCUGCAUGGCUGUCGUCAGCUCGUGUUGUGAAAUGUUGGGUUAAGUCCCGCAACGAGCGCAACCCUUAUCCUUUGUUGCCAGCGGUCCGGCCGGGAACUCAAAGGAGACUGCCAGUGAUAAACUGGAGGAAGGUGGGGAUGACGUCAAGUCAUCAUGGCCCUUACGACCAGGGCUACACACGUGCUACAAUGGCGCAUACAAAGAGAAGCGACCUCGCGAGAGCAAGCGGACCUCAUAAAGUGCGUCGUAGUCCGGAUUGGAGUCUGCAACUCGACUCCAUGAAGUCGGAAUCGCUAGUAAUCGUGGAUCAGAAUGCCACGGUGAAUAC
rnacentral:rRNA from 1 species